GGUUAAGUGACUAAGCGUACAUGGUGGAUGCCUUGGCAGUCAGAGGCGAUGAAGGACGUACUAACCUGCGAUAAGCUGUGAGAAGUCGGUAAGAGACGCUAUUACUCACAGAUUUCCGAAUGGGGAAACCCACCCAAGAUAACUUGGGUAUCGUUACAUGAAUACAUAGUGUAACGAGGCGAACCGGGAGAACUGAAACAUCUAAGUACCCCGAGGAAAAGAAAUCAACCGAGAUUCCCUCAGUAGCGGCGAGCGAACGGGGAUUAGCCCUUAAGUUUCUUGGAAGUUAGUGGAAUGGUCCUGGAAAGGCCAGCGAUACAGGGUGAUAGCCCCGUACAUGAAAACGACCUUGAAGUGAAAUCGAGUAGGGCGGGACACGUGACAUCCUGUCUGAAUAUGGGGGGACCAUCCUCCAAGGCUAAAUACUCCUGACUGACCGAUAGUGAACCAGUACCGUGAGGGAAAGGCGAAAAGAACCCCUGUGAGGGGAGUGAAAUAGAACCUGAAACCGUGUACGUACAAGCAGUGGGAGCUCUUCGGGGUGACUGCGUACCUUUUGUAUAAUGGGUCAGCGACUUACAUUUUGUAGCGAGGUUAACCGUAUAGGGGAGCCGUAGGGAAACCGAGUCUUAACUGGGCGUCUAGUUGCAAGGUGUAGACCCGAAACCGGGUGAUCUAGCCAUGGGCAGGUUGAAGGUUGAGUAACAUCAACUGGAGGACCGAACCCACUAACGUUGCAAAGUUAGGGGAUGACCUGUGGCUGGGGGUGAAAGGCCAAUCAAACUCGGAGAUAGCUGGUUCUCCCCGAAAGCUAUUUAGGUAGCGCCUCGGACGAAUACUACUGGGGGUAGAGCAC
rnacentral:rRNA from 1 species